ensembl:rRNA 5S_rRNA 5S ribosomal RNA
GCCUACGACCAUCUCACCCUGAAUGCGCCCGAUCUCGUCUGAUCUCGGAAGCUAAGCAGAGUCGAGCCUGGUUAGUACUUGGAUGGGAGACUGCUUGGGAAUACCAGGUGUUGUAGGCU